AACGCGAAGAACCUUACCAGGGCUUGACAUGGGCAGGACCGGCACAGAGAUGUGUUUUCCCCGCAAGGGGCCUGCCGCACAGGUGCUGCAUGGCUGUCGUCAGCUCGUGUCGUGAGAUGUUGGGUUAAGUCCCGCAACGAGCGCAACCCUCGCCUUCAGUUGCCAUCAGGUUUGGCUGGGCACUCUGAAGGAACUGCCGGUGACAAGCCGGAGGAAGGUGGGGAUGACGUCAAGUCCUCAUGGCCCUUAUGUCCUGGGCUACACACGUGCUACAAUGGCGGUGACAGUGGGAUGCCAGGUCGCGAGGCCGAGCUGAUCUCAAAAAGCCGUCUCAGUUCAGAUUGCACUCUGCAACUCGGGUGCAUGAAGGUGGAAUCGCUAGUAAUCGCGGAUCAGCACGCCGCGGUGAAUACGUUCCCGGGCCUUGUACACACCGUAGUAC
rnacentral:rRNA from 1 species